rnacentral:rRNA from 1 species
UACGAAGGGGGCUAGCGUUGUUCGGAAUUACUGGGCGUAAAGCGCACGUAGGCGGGUUUGUAAGUAGGGGGUGAAAUCCCUGGGCUCAACCCAGGAACUGCCUUCUAGACUGCAAGCCUGGAGGUCAGGAGAGGCGAGUGGAAUUCCGAGUGUAGAGGUGAAAUGUGUAGAGAUCGGGAGGAACACCGGUGGCGAAGGCGGGUCUCUGGGCAAUUCCUGACGCUGAGGCGCGAAAGCGUGGGGAGCAAACGGG